UACGAAGGGGGCUAGCGUUGUUCGGAAUUACUGGGCGUAAAGCGUGUGUAGGCGGCCAUAUAAGUCGGAUGUGAAGGCCCCGGGCUCAACCCGGGAAGUGCACUCGAUACUGUAUGGCUUGAGUAUCGGAGAGGUUGGUGGAAUUCUCGGUGUAGAGGUGAAAUUCGUAGAUAUCGAGAGGAACACUGGUGGCGAAGGCGGCCAACUGGACGAAUACUGACGCUGAGACACGAAAGCGUGGGGAGCAAACAGG
rnacentral:rRNA from 1 species